rnacentral:rRNA from 1 species
UGAGGAAUAUUGGUCAAUGGUCGAGAGACUGAACCAGCCAUGCCGCGUGCAGGAAGACGGCCUUAUGGGUUGUAAACUGCUUUUAUACGGGGAUAAACCUAUCUUUGCGAAGAUAGCUGAAGGUACCGUAGGAAUAAGCAUCGGCUAACUCCGUGCCAGCAGCCGCGGUAAUACGGAGGAUGCGAGCGUUAUCCGGAUUCAUUGGGUUUAAAGGGUGCGUAGGCUGGCUAAUAAGUCAGUGGUGAAAUGCUUUGGCUUAACCAAAGAGCUGCCAUUGAUACUGUUAACCUAGAAUGCAAAUGGAGUAGGCGGAAUGAAUCAUGUAGAGGUGACAUUCAUAGAUAUGAUUCAGAACACCGAUCGCGAAGGCAGCUUGCUAAGAUGCAAUUGACGCUGAUGCACGAAAGCGUGGGGAUCAAACA